GGCGAUAUGGCCGAGCGGUCUAAGGCGCCAGAAUCAGGUUCAGCACCAGUAUCUGGUCCUCACGGGCGUGGGUUCGAAUCCCACUGUCGUCA